CACUGCAUCAAGUAUAAGACAAGCUACGCCAUGUGAGAAUAUAAAGCAACUGAAAUAAGAACUAAUAGCUCGUUCACACAGGCUGCGUAAGCGUAGACGUGGCGCGUACCAUUGCGUUGUAAUGUAUGGAACUGUAUGAAACAUGGCACACCGCUUGCGUAAAGUGUGGACGUAUGCGUUACUCGGCGUGUUAGGGGUUUACGCGCGUCACUACGCACGUGUCACGUGUACGUGCUUUGUGUGAAUCAGCCUUUAAAUUCACGGAAAUUUACG